rnacentral:rRNA from 1 species
GAUGAACGCUGGCGGCGUGCUUAACACAUGCCAGUCGAACGGAAAGGCCCCUGCUUGCAGGUGUACUCGAGUGGCGAACGGGUGAGUAACACGUGGGUGAUCUGCCCUGCAAUUCGGGAUAAGCCUGGGGAACUGGGUCUAAUACCGGAUAGGACAAUGGAUUGGAUUCUAUUGUGCAUAGUAUGUUCGGUGUGGGAUGGUCUCGCGGCCGAUCAGCUUGUUGGUGGGGUAAUGGUCUCCGAAUGCGGCGGCGGAUAGCCGGCCCGGGAAGGUGGACAGCCACAAUGGGACUGAGAUACGGAGCAGACUGCUACGGGAGGCAGCAGUGGAGAAUAUUGCACAACAAGCGCGAGCGUGAUGCAGCGACUCUGCGUGGGGGAUGACGGCCUUCGGGUUGUAAACACCUUUCGCUGGGGACGAAGCGCAAGUGACGGUACCUGGAGAAGAAGCACCGGCUAACUACGUG